UCCCUGGUGGCUCAGAGGUAAAGUUUCUGCCUGACAAUGCAGGAGACACAGGUUUGAUCCCUGAUCUGGGAA
rnacentral:tRNA from 1 species